rnacentral:rRNA from 1 species
CCCUGGCUCAGGACGAACGCUGGCGGCAUGCCUAAUACAUGCAAGUCGAGCGGACUUGAAGAGAAGCUUGCUUCUCGGAUGGUUAGCGGCGGACGGGUGAGUAACACGUAGGCAACCUGCCCUCAAGUUUGGGACAACUACCGGAAACGGUAGCUAAUACCGAAUAGUUGUUUUCUUCGCCUGAAGAGAACUGGAAAGACGGAGCAAUCUGUCACUUGGGGAUGGGCCUGCGGCGCAUUAGCUAGUUGGUGAGGUAACGGCUCACCAAGGCGACGAUGCGUAGCCGACCUGAGAGGGUGAUCGGCCACACUGGGACUGAGACACGGCCCAGACUCCUACGGGAGGCAGCAGUAGGGAAUCUUCCGCAAUGGGCGAAAGCCUGACGGAGCAAUGCCGCGUGAGUGAUGAAGGUUUUCGGAUCGUAAAGCUCUGUUGCCAGGGAAGAACGCUUGGGAGAGUAACUGCUCUCAAGGUGACGGUACCUGAGAAGAAAGCCCCGGCUAACUA